UGAAGAAAGGACAAUUUUCAGAGUGGAGAUUUUUUUCACCGCUAAACUAUGAAGGGUGAACGUGAGACAAACCUUUUCAAUCAAUAGAGAAAUCUAACCAGAGAUUUGUGAAUAAGUCGGUUGCAGAAAUGUUAUUGAAACGUAAAUGUACAAAAUAUGAGUAUCCACAAAAUUAGGAAAUACUUUUAAGUAUCAACUCUUGCAGCUUAAAAAAAUAUACCGUAAUUUUCUUUUAGUUGCACUCCUGAUUUCUUUGAU